ensembl:misc_RNA 7SK 7SK RNA
UGAUGUGAAUUCAAAACCUCACACUCCUCCCUCACUGCCCCAUGUGCGUCCCUCCCGAAGCUGCUCGCUCAGUCAGAGGACGGCCUUCCCCAAAUAGAGACGGAAUGAUCUUGAGGUAUACAAGUAGUUGCACUCCCCUGCUAGAACCUCCAAACAAGCUCUCAAAACCACACACUUUGGUUUAUUGUUUUUAUGAGCUUAAGUUAGCUGUCUAAUCUUUCUGAGCCCCAAUUUUCUCCUUAUUAGAAUGGGAACAUUAGG